AUGGCUCAGGAUAAACGCUGGCGGCGUGCUUAACACAUGCAAGUCGAACGGAGUAUCCUUCGGAAGAUCAAAGAGCUUGCUCGGAGAGAUUCUUGGAAUACUUAGUGGCGGACGGGUGAGUAACGCGUGGGUAACCUGCCUCACACAGGGGGAUAACAGUUGGAAACGACUGUUAAUACCGCAUAAGCGCACAGUACCGCAUGGUACAGUGUGAAAAAACUCCGGUGGUGUGGGAUGGACCCGCGUCUGAUUAGCUGGUUGGUGAGGUAACGGCCCACCAAGGCGACGAUCAGUAGCCGGCCUGAGAGGGUGUACGGCCACAUUGGGACUGAGACACGGCCCAAACUCCUACGGGAGGCAGCAGUGGGGAAUAUUGCACAAUGGGGGAAACCCUGAUGCAGCCGACGCCGCGUGAGUGAAGAAGUAUUUCGGUAUGUAAAGCUCUAUCAGCAGGGAAGAUAAUGACGGUACCUGACUAAGAAGCACCGGCUAAAUACGUGCCAGCAGCCGC
rnacentral:rRNA from 1 species